CAGAUGUCAACUCCCCUUGUAAACGCAGCUGCUCUGUCUCACAACUGGCAAAGAGAACUGAAGGAGUUCCCUUCCCUUUAUGGCUUUUAUCUCUCUGGCUAAUAGGGGAUGAUGCUUAAAGGAGGUAAUUCUUGAGCAAUAAAUCCAGACUGCAAAUAAAACAAGGGAAGAGGGAGGAAAAUCACAAUGUAAGAAGUUUCCUUUGUUUACUACGCUUAAUUGGGAUUCCACACAUGAAUGAAGAAGAGAAGACGGUCUCUCCCAGGGUGACUGGGAAAGGGAAAAAAAGAGGCCGCUGAGAACAAAGCAG
rnacentral:lncRNA from 1 species